UGUCAUGGAGAUAAUGAGCCACUACCAUGCUUAUGCAAGAGAAAACAUAAUAACCAACAGUAUAGUAAGCAAGUACCUACUCCUGUAUUGCAAAAAAAGAAACAGAAAACAAUUUUUAUGCAUACUCCACAUACUGUAGCUCAAGGUUAACAAACUUUCUAAAAUUGGAGGUAAAACC
rnacentral:lncRNA from 1 species